AGUUUUAUAGUCAAAAAUGAUGCCAAAUUGCAAGUUUGGAGGUGGGGUUUCCCUAAGGCUU
rnacentral:tRNA from 1 species